GACGAACGCUGGCGGCGUGCCUAACACAUGCAAGUCGAGCGUGUGAAUCUCCUUCGGGAGUGAAGCUAGCGGCGGACGGGUGAGUAACACGUGGGCAACCUGCCUCUUAGAGGGGAAUAGCCUUUCGAAAGGAAGAUUAAUACCGCAUAAGAUUGUAGCUUCGCAUGAAGUAGCAAUUAAAGGAGCAAUCCGCUAUGAGAUGGGCCCGCGGCGCAUUAGCUAGUUGGUGAGGUAACGGCUCACCAAGGCGACGAUGUGUAGCCGACCUGAGAGGGUGAUCGGCCACAUUGGGACUGAGACACGGCCCAGACUCCUACGGGAGGCAGCAGUGGGGAAUAUUGCACAAUGAGGGAAACCCUGAUGCAGCAACGCCGCGUGAGUUAUGACGGCCUUCGGGUUGUAAAGCUCUGUCUUCAGGGACGAUAAUGACGGUACCUGAGGAGGAAGCCACGGCUAACUACGUGCCAGCCGCCGCCGUAA
rnacentral:rRNA from 1 species